rnacentral:rRNA from 1 species
AUUGAACGCUGGCGGCAUGCCUUACACAUGCAAGUCGAACGGUAACAGGUCUUCGGAUGCUGACGAGUGGCGAACGGGUGAGUAAUACAUCGGAACGUGCCCGAUCGUGGGGGAUAACGAGGCGAAAGCUUUGCUAAUACCGCAUACGAUCUACGGAUGAAAGCGGGGGAUCUUCGGACCUCGCGCGGACGGAGCGGCCGAUGGCAGAUUAGGUAGUUGGUGGGAUAAAAGCUUACCAAGCCGACGAUCUGUAGCUGGUCUGAGAGGAUGAUCAGCCACCCUGGGACUGAGACACGGCCCAGACUCCUACGGGAGGCAGCAGUGGGGAAUUUUGGACAAUGGGCGAAAGCCUGAUCCAGCCAUGCCGCGUGCAGGAUGAAGGCCUUUGGGUUGUAAACUGCUUUUGUACGGAACGAAAAGCCUCUUUCUAAUAAAGAGGGGUCAUGACGGUACCGUAAGAAUAAGCACCGGCUAACUACGUG